rnacentral:tRNA from 1 species
GCGGGAUUGGUUCAGCGGUAGAACAAUACCUUGCCAAGGUAUGGACACGGGUUCGACUCCCGUAUCCCGCU